UACGGGGGGUGCGAGCGUUGUCCGGAAUCACUGGGCGUAAAGGGCGCGUAGGUGGCCUGAUAAGGGUGUGGUGAAAGUCCGGGGCUCAACCCCUGAUCGGCCGUGCGAACUGGGGGGCUGGAGCACUGUAGAGGCAGGCGGAAUUCCGGGUGUAGCGGUGGAAUGCGUAGAGAUGUGGAGGAACACCAGUGGCGAAGGCGGCUUUCUGGUCUGUAACUGACGCUGAGGCGCGAAAGCGUGGGGAGCAAACAGG
rnacentral:rRNA from 1 species